AAGAUGGUGUGCAGCAUUAACUUUUUGCUCAUAUUUCCCAAAAGGAAAUAUUUUUUUUAUUGUUUUACAGCUGGUGGGACCUUAAAAAAUACAAGUUUUGGCCAUUUAAACGGAGGAGGAAAACAGUUGGAAAGUAUUGUUCUGUGUGCUUCAUUUACGCCAGGUGUGCAGUUGUAGAGACGCGUCUAAAACAUGACAGAGUUCAGGAAAAAAAAAAAAAAAACUGCUGUGAGAGAAAACGACGAGCUAAUUUUCAAAAGCAGGAAUUUUGCGAGUGCUGAAGACAACGCCCAGAUGCUGUCACACUACCCCGCCAACCUUAUCCUGAUGGCCUUUACAAACUUCUGAGGAGAAAAUGAUGCGUCUCCCCGCAGAAGUUCAGACAGGGAAACAUUUGCAGACACACCACCUGGAUCCCUGACUGGCAGGUACACACGUGCUGUUGUAGCUGAAAAGUUCGACAAAUGGCUGUCCAGCUCCCGUUGAGGAAGGUAUCCGUCAGCAGAUCAGACAUUUAUCAAAAAUGAUUUCAUAUUUUUAUUUAGUUGGAGGAUGUUUUUAAACCUUGUAAACAGACUAUAGAACUGAUUCUAGAGCUGGAAUCGAUGAAAAUUGUCCACUUUUUCACAAACUUAAAACAGCUCCUCUGAUUUCUGCAGUCCAGAUUACUUUAUGUCAUACAUUAAUUUAAUUUUAAAUUGUGGAUUCUUACUUAUAUGAGCAUGUGCCUUUCCAAAUUCAGUCCAAUCAGCUACAUUUACCACAGGCGAACUUCAUUUAAGAUGUAGACGCAGCUCAGUUUUGAGCUUCAUGGUAAAUGCUGUGAGCACUUAUUUAAAAUGUAUUUUCUUGUUUUCUCUAUUUUUCAUCAAUUUUCAGAAAAAACUUAUUUCCAUGUUAUAAUGGGUUAUUUGUGUGUCAAAUUUUGUGGAAAGAUGUUGAUUUAAUACAAUUUUGGAAUAAGGCUGUCACACAAAAUGUGGAAAAAAUGG